rnacentral:rRNA from 1 species
UACAGAGGGUGCGAGCGUUAAUCGGAAUUACUGGGCGUAAAGCGUGCGUAGACGGCUAUCUAAGUCGGGUGUGAAAGCCCCGGGCUCAACCUGGGAAUUGCAUUCGUGACUGAAUAGCUAGGGUACGGUAGAGGGAAGCGGAAUUUCCGGUGUAGCGGUGAAAUGCGUAGAUAUCGGAAGGAACAUCAGUGGCGAAAGCGGCUUCCUGGACCAGUACCGACGUUCAGGCACGAAAGCGUGGGGAGCAAACAGG